UUUCCGUAGGUGAACCUGCGGAAGGAUCAUUGUCGAUACCUGCCCAGCAGAACGACCCGUGAACUCGUAACAGCCUUCUGGGUUGGGGUGUCAUGCCCCCUCCCAAAAACGGUUGGGAGGGCACGUUGAAAGCUGCCCACCACUCCUCGCGUGCGGUGGGUCAGUCUUCUCGUUCCCUUCCCAGCCGAACAAUGAACCCCGGCGCGGUCUGCGCCAAGGAACUUAAACAAGGAGUAACCACGGCCGCCCCGGAAACGGUGUGCGUGCCGCUGGUGACAUCUUACCAUGAUACAUAACGACUCUCGGCAACGGAUAUCUCGGCUCUC
rnacentral:misc_RNA from 1 species